AACGAACGCUGGCGGCAUGCCUAACACAUGCAAGUCGAACGAACCCUUCGGGGUUAGUGGCGCACGGGUGCGUAACGCGUGGGAAUCUGCCCUUUGCUUCGGAAUAACAGUUAGAAAUGACUGCUAAUACCGGAUAAUGUCUUCGGACCAAAGAUUUAUCGGCAAAGGAUGAGCCCGCGUAGGAUUAGCUAGUUGGUGGGGUAAAAGCUCACCAAGGCGACGAUCCUUAGCUGGUCUGAGAGGAUGAUCAGCCACACUGGGACUGAGACACGGCCCAGACUCCUACGGGAGGCAGCAGUGGGGAAUAUUGGACAAUGGGCGAAAGCCUGAUCCAGCAAUGCCGCGUGAGUGAUGAAGGCCUUAGGGUUGUAAAGCUCUUUUACCAGGGAUGAUAAUGACAGUACCUGGAGAAUAAG
rnacentral:rRNA from 1 species